GCCCAACAGCUAGCCCACUUAAAGAAUUUCAACAAACCCUUGUUAAUAACCCCUAAAUACCCCAGUAUUUAAAUUAAACAAACCAUUUUUCCCCCCUAGUAUAGGCGAUAGAAAAGGGACUACGGCGCUAUAGAGAAAGUACCGCAAGGGAACGCUGAAAGAGAAAUGAAACAACCCAGUAAAACCUAAAAAAGCAGAGAUUUAAGCUCGUACCUUUUGCAUCAUGAUUUAGCGAGUGUACCCCAAGCAAAGAGCACUUUAGUUUGACGUCCCGAAACUACGUGAGCUACUCCAAGACAGCCUAUUAAUAGGGCACACCCGUCUCUGUUGCAAAAGAGUGGGAAGAGCUUUGAGUAGAGGUGACAAACCUACCGAACCUAGUCAUAGCUGGUUGUCCAAGAAAUGAAUAGAAGUUCAGCCUCUUGGCUUCUCUUUUCACCCUAGUCUAACCCCUAUUGAUGCCUUAAAGAAACCGAGAGAGUUAGUCAAAGGGGGUACAGCCCCUUUGAAUCAAGACACAACUUUAUCAGGAGGGU
rnacentral:rRNA from 1 species